AGUCCCGUGGCGCAGUGGUAGCGCGUCGCUCUUAUAUGGGAAUCUCAGUUUCUGGGUCUUGUAUGUUAAAAAAUGCGAAAGUCGCGGGUUCGACCCCCGCCGGGACUA